rnacentral:rRNA from 1 species
AGCGGCGGAUGGGUGAGUAACACGUGGGGAACCUGCCCCAUAGUCUGGGAUACCACUUGGAAACAGGUGCUAAUACCGGAUAAUAAAGCAGAUCGCAUGAUCAGCUUAUAAAAGGCGGCGUAAGCUGUCGCUAUGGGAUGGCCCCGCGGUGCAUUAGCUAGUUGGUAAGGUAACGGCUUACCAAGGCAAUGAUGCAUAGCCGAGUUGAGAGACUGAACGGCCACAUUGGGACUGAGACACGGCCCAAACUCC